CGAACGCUGGCGGCAGGCCUAACACAUGCAAGUCGAGCGGGCAUCCUUCGGGAUGUUAGCGGCGGACGGGUGAGUAACGCGUGGGAACGUGCCCUUUGCUACGGAAUAGCCUCGGGAAACUGAGAGUAAUACCGUAUGUGCCCUUCGGGGGAAAGAUUUAUCGGCAAAGGAUCGGCCCGCGUUGGAUUAGGUAGUUGGUAGGGUAAUGGCCUACCAAGCCGACGAUCCAUAGCUGGUUUGAGAGGAUGAUCAGCCACACUGGGACUGAGACACGGCCCAGACUCCUACGGGAGGCAGCAGUGGGGAAUCUUAGACAAUGGGGGGAAACCCUGAUCUAGCCAUGCCGCGUGAGCGAUGAAGGCCUUAGGGUUGUAAAGCUCUUUCAGUGGGGAAGAUAAUGACGGUACCCACAGAAGAAGCCCCGGCUAACUCCGUGCCAGCAG
rnacentral:rRNA from 1 species